rnacentral:lncRNA from 1 species
UAGAGUUUUAUUACUGCUCCCAUCACCCCAUCACCUCAACCAAAAGUAAUGUUUGCUUCCUCUGAAUACCUCCUUUAUUACCUAUAGGCUCUUGUUUUAUAUGGCUUGCACUACAUUAUAUUUCAGAAGAUUGUAUCAUCAUUAACUACAUCGAAUGUUCCUUGAAGUUGGACAUCAAGUAUUACAUAUCUUUAUUCAUCAAAGAUUUGUUGGGUAUUUCAUUUGUGCUUCAUGGUAUGGUAGGGGCUAGCAAUAUAAGAAUGACAAAAGAUUUAGUUCCUACUGUCAAAAGACUUGCACAAGAUCUAAUUAUCUUUGUAUGCUACCCAGACUUAGUUAAGAUAAGCUUAGAGUAGGAAUAUGUGACUCAUCUCAGAAUUCUGGAUGGCAUUCUGAGGAAAUGACAUCUAAAAUGAGGCAGGAAGAGUGUAGGUACCAGCUAGGUGCAGUUGGGGGGGUGCAGUGUUGCAGGAUGAAUAAGAGAGAGUGUCCAGUGCAGAAAAAAGCAUGUUUAUAUACAAGGAGGGGAAGCAGAACAAAAUGUUCUGUAAAUUACAGAACAAAAUAGCUGUGAUCUUGGUUUUGAAGGAGAACUAGCUGGAGAUAAAACUUGGAAGGUAAGCCAAGGCUGGAUCAUGAAGAAUUUUUCAGUUAUUUCUACAUUAACAGUGCCCAGUAUUGUGCCUGCAUCUGGUAGGUUCAGUAAAUUGUGUUUCUAACCUGUUUAUAAAGAGCGGAUGCACAUGAUUUAGUCAGUAUUUACAGUCAAGGAAACCCAGUUUGGCAAGAGAACAAAGUUUCAAAAAUGCUGAAACCCUUUACUUGGAUUUUUCAGAAAGUGUAAAGGGGAGCCACGUAUCUAAUCCAGGCUACAUUUAUAAACAGUCAAGUGACAAAACUAAAAUGAUUUAGCCAUGAGUUUGAUGUCCUUUAAUCAUGGGAAAACCAUCCAUGGAUUAAGGGGUACAGUGUAGAGCAGUGGAGCAUCCUUCCUGAGGGAUUUUGGGCAAGGGGGAGUUUUAUAGAACAUUGGAAAUGGGACAUGAUUGACUAGGAGAUAAGGGAUCUUUUUGAAAGAUAAGCAGGUUGUUUUCUAGGAUAAGGUGAGCUCUCCAAAGCUGAGUUGGAGGAUUAUGAUUGGUGUGCGUAUUAGAUUUUCUUGACAGGUGUUUCUCACAAGUGUGGGCUGACCUGGGUCUAGAUUUGUGACCUUGCAGGGGUGCUGGGCUAGCCUUCAUUUUGUGGGUUUUGGUGUACAAAUUAACUUUAUCCAAACCAACAAAUAAACAAACAAUCCUUCUGCUCCUAGCUACUUCCAUAUAUGAUGUCUAUUAUUUACUAAAAGUAAAAACUGAAACGGAAGACAUCCUCUCUCCUUCACCAGAUGAUACUUUGUCCUUCUGUUUCCUCAGUACUUUGUCACACAGCUAAAUUUAACCUCUCUCCAACCCUCCUCUCCAUCUCUCAAUCCAAUUUCACAAAAAGUCUAGAGAAACUGAAUUGGAAGAAACUGAACACAGGUGACCACAGGUUAACAAUGACUGUCCAAACAAAUGUUGGGAAUGAGUGAUCCAUUCUCUGAAAAAACCAGAGGCUGCUUCUGAGAAGCCCGAAGCCCUGUGUGUGCUGAACUCUCAGUCUGCCUUAGAAACUCAUCCUUCCAUUUCCAAAAGAAAUUUUCUCAUUCAGAUUCUGUUUCCCACCUCCCUCCCUUCCAUUAUUUCUCCCAAACCUUGAAUCAUAAACUUCAAGAAAGCAUUGUGAAUAAUUUAUAUCCUUUUAUUACUUAUUGCCUAAUUCCCUUUGGGGGAAAUGAAGAGAAACAUUAGUCUUUUGCUGCUUUUUCUCCUGUGGACUGAGACUGUGUCAGCUGCAGGCUAUAGCAAAGAUUUAUGACCACAGGAGCUGUCAUUACAGAACAGUUGAUUGACCUGUAGUUUUGAUUAACCAAAAUAUUUUUUUAAAAAAAUUCAGGAACAGUACUAAUGACACUGGAAUAGAAAGUCAACAUUUUACCAACUUCUAUUGAAACCUGCUUGUUACCAUCUUUCUUUUCAAUGCUCAUUGGUGACUGUUUCCUUCCCUGCCUACUUAAUUGGUUUUCCUGUGGUGUCUUUCUCAGAAUAUGUAAAUUCAAGUGCAGAGCUAUGUUGACUCAGAGUGCAUGGUGGUACUCUGCUGCUAGGAUGAGGGAGUCUAGCUGGAUGUGUUCAGGUCCUGUUUAGUUUGGUCUUUCUAAAUGUCUUAGCUUCACAGAAUAAGUAAUGAUAGUUAAUAUCUCUCUUGGGCCAUUGCAACGCCUCUGGAACAUUGGGUUGGUCCCAUAGCAAGUAUAGUUGGAAUGUAUCACCUUUACACAGUCACCUCUACCACCAUACCAUGCAAGGGCAAAUUACUAUCCCUCCUAGAUUUCUGUAGUCCAGGAGGUCUAGAAUGACUGGCCUACCUCAACACACUCUGCCUCCCUUCUACCCAAAUCCAUUUUUUUCAAAUAAAUGAAAAAAAUACAUAAAUACAGUCAUAUCAGCGACUACCACUAUACCCUGAUAAAAAAAAAAAAAGCCCAGGGAGUUCAUGUUGUGCCUCAGUGGUUAACGAACUUGACUAGUAUCCAUGAGGACACGUGUUUGAUCCCUGUCCUCGCUCAGUGGGUUCAGGAUCCAGCUUUGCCAUGAACUGUGGUGUAGGUCGCAGAUGUGGCUUGGAUCUCGCGUUGCUAUGGCUGUGGUGUAGGCUGGCAGCUACAGCUCUGAUUGGACCCCUAGCUUGUAAACCUCCAUACACCAUGGGUAUGGCCCUAAACAAACAAACAAACAAAACCAAAAAACAAACAAAAAACCCAAUUGGUUUCUCAUUACUUAUAAUUCCUAAAAUGACCCAAAAGGCCUUGCCUGGUUGCCGUUAACACUUCUUCAUCUUGCUGUCCUUUGUGGGCUCUCUUCUCCAAUCAGGCUGGGCUUUUUUCAGUCCCUAUGUUCAUUCUUCUCAGUCUCAUUACAGGGCCUUCGCUUAUCUAGUACAUACACUGUAUGAACCUCAGCUCAAGAGUUACUUCUUCUGAGACACUUUCUUUGCCUUUGUUACACCCCCUUAGCUGCACUCCUUUGUUUUCAGUCUUCUUGGUACCAUAUACCUCUCCUCAGACACCUUUCAGUGAGUCAGUUUUGUAUUGGUGAGGUCUUUUGAUUAAUAUCAUCCUCCCUCUGGAUGUCUUGAGGGUGGGGCCUAUCCUUGUUUUGACUCAACGUUUAUAUCUCCAGCAGUUAACACAGCGCCUAGCUCUUAGAAGGUGCUCCAUAAACAGGUAUUGCCUGAUUUGGUGAAUAAAUGAAACUGUUCAAUCAGAAAAGGGGCCUUACCUUGUCUUUGAGGGAUUUAUCUUGUUGACAAUAAAUACAAAUGAAUCUCUCAGAAUAGCCAAGAGUGAAAAUGUCUUUACAUGCAGGAAGACUAGAAGCAGCCUGUAGCAGCCAACUAAAUUCAUAUCAUUCUGUUUAAAGUGAGGGGACACCAUUGACAAUAGUUCUGGGUGAAUGUAGGAGCUGUCUCUCUGGAGUUGCUGGAAUAUUUUUCCACUCUGUUAUAGUGUUCACAGUUAUGCAGCGUAUAUUUUUCUUUCCUGUUUCUUUGUUUUUAAGGGACUUGUCUUGCAUUUCCCAUUAGAACAAAUUUGGGGAUACUUAUUAGCAAGCUGUGUACAAAGGAGCUUCCGCUGUUUCACUGAUCCCUCCCAAUUAGCUCCUCUGCUUGUCUGUAUCCUAUCUGCAUAGGAAACAUGAAAUAUCUCACUUGGGAGGAGGGAUGCAAUUCUUGGCAUAUAGAAUUUUUUCCUGAAGAUUACUUCCUAUUUACAAAGGAGAGAAAUAGGGAAAAUGCAUAUUAUGGGUCUAUAGGCUGACAGGGAAGACAGGAGAGGAGAAUUUUGCUAGGCAUCAAAAUAGUAGCUUUCCUGGUCUCACAUCAGAACAUCUGUCUAUGUCUCAGGGCAGAUUUGGUUUAAGACCAAAACAAAUAGCUCCCUUUCUGUGGUUCUGACCCCGUGGUGAAAAAAAGGAACUAAACUAGUCUGACUGUAACUGCUGGGGGAGUCAUUGUUCUCUCCAACCUUCUGGGAGCCCCAAAUAAUUAGCUGUGCAAAGAACAAGCUGGAAUCAGAAUUCCCCUCCAGGGUUUUCUGUGUCCAGCCAAACAAAGCCAGCUGAGCCGAGAGACAAAUAAACCCAGUGACAGAGGGCGGGUGCCAAGUCUCCUUUCUCGCCUGGGUUUCAGUUCUGGUCCUCUGGGUCUGUGUCCUCAGCUUCCUUCUCCUUCAUAAUCCCCCAGGCCCCUCAUCAUGUGUAGCCUGAAAGAGUUUUUUCUUAAUUAGAGAAGCCAUUGGGCCCCUCUCAGGCAGAAGGCUGGUGCUGUGUUUUGGGAUGUGUGAGGGCUCCGUUUGAGCAGGUUGGCCUUUGGAGAGAGAUCUCACUUCCUCCCAGAUUUUCUGAUAUUUUCAAAAAGAAGCCAGAAAUCUGGUCUUUUGCGUGAAGUCACCCAAUUUUAAAAUGUUUUCUAUGUUUUGUUUUAUUUAUAAAGAGUGUGCAGGCCACCACACACACACACACACACACACACACCAUAAGCUUCAUAAAGGUGCAGGUUGUGUAUGUCCUGCUGGCUCCUGUGUCCCCAGGAUGUACUAUAGUGCUCGCCAUAUAAUAGAAGAUUGAUGAACAUGUACAGGAGACUCAGACUUGCUGAUAUCCCUUGAUAUUAAUUAUGGUAAUAAGAAACAACAGUAAUGGUAUCAACUACUUUUUAUUGAGCACAUAUUAGGUGCUUUUCAUGAAAUUCAAGCUGCAUUCUGACCUUAGAAAGUGCAUGUUUUUAUUAUCUCCAUUUUGAAAAUAGAGGCAGAAGCUCUGAACCUAAAAAAAGGUGACCCAAGGUGGAAGAUGAGCUCAGUGAAUCAAUGCUGAUUCAGGCUGCAAGGCCUCCAAAGCCAGUGUUUGUCAUCCUAAGGCUCUGCUGGUGCUGGCUUGAGGAAGCCAAAAUGAGCCCUCUAAGGCUGAGCCCUUCCAAACAGGAGAAAGCAAGCCUGAUGUUUGUCUCCCAGUGUAGCCUCCAGGGUGAACAUCUGAAAGGGUGGACAUAGUUGAUGGCAGCCUUCUUUUCUUUUGCACAUCCUAUUUUUUUCCCCCCUCUAGUUCUGAGCUGUGGAAUGAUUCUGCACCACCACCUCUUUAUGAGGAAUUACUCUGCAGGGGACUUUGAUAAGUCAUGGCUGUUGAGGUAUCCUAUUGUUCGAUACCCUUAAGUGAUACACAACAGUCUACAUUCAGGCAUUUUUCUUGGCCUCCUGGGCACUCUGAGCUUAGGUUUACUGAGGCAUUUUUUGGCUUCCUUAACUAACUAAAAGCCAGAGUGGUGACUCAUCAUCAGCUUAGGAUACAAUUAAACCCAUAGCUCCUAUAAGCAGAAUUCUGUAUUAUAGUCUGCAGCUCAUGAAACACAUUUUUCUUGUGGUGCAAAUACUUUAUUAUGGGUAUUGAAGUGUUAAAGCAUUAGUCUAUGAGAGACACAAAAGCCUGGCUAAUUUAACAGAGUGGGGUUCCUCUCCACAAUAGUUCCUCCUUGAUGGACUUAUGUUAAUGGUUUCAGCUACUGGCAGAUCCUUUCAAUCAGAGAAAUGGCAACAGGAAAGAAGAAUAUAAGCCUUCAGAAAAACCUAAUUACGUGCUCAUGUCCUGCUUUCAACAUGAGCUCCUUCUCAGUCUCCCUUUUGAUUUUUUUUAGGCCAUCAUCCUGGUUUGAAACCCUCUUACUCUUUGGUAAAUUGUUCUCUAAUAGAGGAAGGUUUUGCAAACUAGGCUUUUGGUUUUGAGACGUGGAGAGCAGCUUUUAAGGAAAUCUGUAGUAAUCAUCAUCAUAGCUCCACUUGCUAUGGCAUCUUUAAGGAUUUUUUCACACUUGCCCUCUGUUAGUUUUUCCGAAAACCUUUUGAGAUAGGUAUCCUUUUU